UGAGAUUCUCCAUUUUGUAUCCUCCAGUUCCACUUUAGGUUGAAAUCUUUUCUCAAGGGAUACAUACUGAAAAAUUUACAGAAUACCUUGAUCUGCCUGAGUGUCAGUCCAGCUUCUGGCUGCUUUCUCUUUUUUAAGAGGGGCCUAAGUGCUACUGGUGUUGGGUGAAGACAAAGCAGCCUGUAAGGAUGAGUGACGACGGCCUGUAUCUUCAUUAUAAAGGAAAAUAUCGCACUGCCUGGCAGGUCCAGGAAUCUCAGCCCCAUGUGCAUUCAUUGUCUGAGAGUGAAGGAGGUGUUUUAUAACAGGAACAACAGUGGACAUUUAUAUGGUAUUUGAACAGAGCCGUAUCUUCAAAGGUCUGUGAUACAGCAAUUAGAGACUGAAACAGCUGGCAACUAGCAAUAUAAUUAAAGAAGACUUUGUUUCUUGAAGUCUGAGACUUGAACAAUUGGAGACAGAAAGACUAAGAAUUCAAGCACAAUAUAGAGAAAUAAAAUGUUAGCAUGA